CCACUUCCGCCCUCUGUACCCUGUGGCUUUCCCCCUCUUCUUUCUCUCUCUGUCUCUGUUUGAGGAGGAGCAGCUGCCGCCCCAGCGUUCGCACCCCGUUCACGGUGUCGCGCGCACGCUUCUUCUCGGGCGCGCUUCCUCCUCCUCCUCCUCCGGGCUCGACCCGAGGCUUCCGGCAGCAGUCUCCGGGUGUCGGAUUUUGUAAAAUAAUUAACGUAACUGAAAGGUGCAGCAGCGGGAUCGGCCCGGGCGGGGCGCCUCCAAAGAGAGGGACCCCGAACAAAGAAAUCCCGGGGCCGUUCCACGCUUGGGUCCCGGACACCCGCCCCUCGCGCGCUGUCCGCGCGUCCCUUAGUCCCGCGGUGACUUUUGGUCUGGGGUCUUCUACCGUCGUCUCGGAUUCUUCUUCUGUAUAGCUGUGGGCGGUGCGUUAUUCCACAGGUGCUGCUGCGCCGAUGCUCCGUACGUUCGCAGUAGCGGGUAGAGCGGAAGGCUCUGUGGCCAGGGAAGAGCGGCACGGACACGUUCCUGCUCGCUCCGUUGCACCGGAAUUUCGACGGCUGGGUUCGGCCGCUAAAUUGAUGGCGCUACCGGAAGAAAUUUCAGAAAAAAAGGGUGGCUUUUUCGUCGAUCUCUUUGUGAGAGUAUCAAAUCAGGCGGCGGUAAAUACGUAGAAGCAGCUGGGCGUACUACGGCGUGUACCGGACAGCGUUGGCGUGCCGCUCUGCUAGCAGCGGAGAGCCAGAUGAGGAUGCCCGUGAUAUGAGAAAAGCUCUGUCCAGAGAUAUGGAGACGAAAUCAGUUGUACCUCACCCUGUGACACCGGAAGACAUUGAGUAACUGUAAGCUGUGAUGCUCAGUGAAAUUACUAAGAGCGUUAAGUUUCCCGUGCCUUUGCUUUCACUCUCCCAUUCUCUUGUCUUGCGGCACGUCGCAUUUGUUGAGGCCGUGGAAGCGACACCGGGAGCGAUGGGUUGUCAGAACCAGGUCCUCCUGCCUGUCGCUGGUUUUGCUUACCUUCGCCGUCUCUGUGUACCAGCCUG